rnacentral:tRNA from 1 species
GCUUAGCUCAGUUGGUUAGAGCGUGGUGCUAAUACUCGUAUGAGACGCCAAGGUCGCGAGUUCGACCGUACGUUCUCGUUCAUCUCCA